GUGCUGACUUCAGGACACAUAUACUAAAAUUGGAACGACACAGAGAAGAUUAGUAUGGCCCCUGCGCAAAGAUGACACACAAAUUCAUGAAGCAUUCCAUGUUCUU
rfam:Pteropus alecto contig19890, whole genome shotgun sequence.